UACGUAGGGUCCGAGCGUUGUCCGGAAUUAUUGGGCGUAAAGGGUUCGUAGGCGGUCUGUUGCGUCGGGAGUGAAAACUUACAGCUUAACUGUGAGCGUGCUUCCGAUACGGGCAGACUUGAGGUAUUCAGGGGAGAACGGAAUUCCUGGUGUAGCGGUGAAAUGCGCAGAUAUCAGGAGGAACACCCGUGGCGAAGGCGGCUCUCUGGGACGGUACUGACGCUGAGACGCGAAAGCGUGGGGAGCGAACAGG
rnacentral:rRNA from 1 species